rnacentral:rRNA from 1 species
CCUCGCGAUGCUCUAGAUUAGCUCGUACCGUGGAUAUCUGCCCUAUGGUGGAGGAUACCCCGGGAACUGGGGAUAUACUCCUAAGUCAGGAGUACUGGAAUGUCUCCUAACUGAAGUUGCGGCGCCUAGGAUGAAUCUGCGGCCGAUUAGGUAGUUGUUGGGGUAACGGCCCAACAAGCCCGUAAUCGGUACGGGUUGUGGGAGCAAGAGCCCGGAGAUGGAAUCUGAGACACGAAUCCGGCCCUACGGGGCGCAGCAGUCGCGAAACUUCACAUGGGCGAAAGCCCGAUGAGGGAUUCCUAGUGCUAGCACAUUUGUGUUAGCUUUUCCUUAGCGUAGAUACUAGGGGAUAAGGCUGGGUAAGACGGGUGCAGCCGCCGCGGUAAUACCGCAGCCGAGUGUGGUCGAUUUAUUGAGUCUAAACGUCGUAGCCGUCUGAUAAUCCUGGGUAAUCGGUGCUUACCAUCCGAUUCGGGAGACUGUC